UACGCAGGGUGCGAGCGUUAAUCGGAAUUACUGGGCGUAAAGCGUGCGCAGGCGGUUCUGCAAGUCAGAUGUGAAAGCCCCGGGCUCAACCUGGGAAUUGCAUUUGAAACUACAGGGCUAGAGUGUGUCAGAGGGGGGUAGAAUUCCACGUGUAGCAGUGAAAUGCGUAGAGAUGUGGAGGAAUACCGAUGGCGAAGGCAGCCCCCUGGGAUAACACUGACGCUCAUGCACGAAAGCGUGGGGAGCAAACAGG
rnacentral:rRNA from 1 species